GGUUCCAUAGUGUAGCAAUUCGCACGUCUGUUUUAUACGCAGAAGGUCCUGGGUUCACACCCCAGUGGAGCCA
rnacentral:tRNA from 1 species